rnacentral:rRNA from 1 species
UUGCUGGGUGGAUUAGUGGCGAACGGGUGAGUAACACGUGAGUAACCUGCCCCCGACUCUGGGAUAAGCCCGGGAAACUGGGUCUAAUACCGGAUAUUACCUUUGACCGCAUGGUUGUUGGUGGAAAGAUUUAUCGGUGGGGGAUGGACUCGCGGCCUAUCAGCUUGUUGGUGAGGUAAUGGCUCACCAAGGCGACGACGGGUAGCCGGCCUGAGAGGGUGACCGGCCACACUGGGACUGAGACACGGCCCAGACUCCUACGGGAGGCAGCAGUGGGGAAUAUUGCACAAUGGGCGAAAGCCUGAUGCAGCGACGCCGCGUGAGGGAUGACGGCCUUCGGGUUGUAAACCUCUUUCAGUAGGGAAGAAGCGAAAGUGACGGUACCUGCAGAAGAAGCGCCGGCUAACUACGUGCCAGCAGCCGCGGUAAUACGUAGGGCGCAAGCGUUAUCCGGAUUUAUUGGGCGUAAAGAGCUCGUAGGCGGUUUGUCGCGUCUGCCGUGAAAGUCCGAGGCUCAACCUCGGAUCUGCGGUGGGUACGGGCAGACUAGAGUGAUGUAGGGGAGACUGGAAUUCCUGGUGUAGCGGUGAAAUGCGCAGAUAUCAGGAGGAACACCGAUGGCGAAGGCAGGUCUCUGGGCAUUUACUGACGCUGAGGAGCGAAAGCAUGGGGAGCGAACAGGAUUAGAUACCCUGGUAGUCCAUGCCGUAAACGUUGGGCACUAGGUGUGGGGGACAUUCCACGUUUUCCGCGCCGUAGCUAACGCAUUAAGUGCCCCGCCUGGGGAGUACGGCCGCAAGGCUAAAACUCAAAGGAAUUGACGGGGGCCCGCACAAGCGGCGGAGCAUGCGGAUUAAUUCGAUGCAACGCGAAGAACCUUACCAAGGCUUGACAUGUGCCAGACCGCCUCAGAGAUGGGGUUUCCCUUCGGGGCUGGUUCACAGGUGGUGCAUGGUUGUCGUCAGCUCGUGUCGUGAGAUGUUGGGUUAAGUCCCGCAACGAGCGCAACCCUCGUUCCAUGUUGCCAGCACGUAAAGGUGGGGACUCAUGGGAGACUGCCGGGGUCAACUCGGAGGAAGGUGGGGAUGACGUCAAAUCAUCAUGCCCCUUAUGUCUUGGGCUUCACGCAUGCUACAAUGGCCGGUACAAUGGGUUGCGAUACUGUGAGGUGGAGCUAAUCCCUAAAAGCCGGUCUCAGUUCGGAUUGGGGUCUGCAACUCGACCCCAUGAAGUCGGAGUCGCUAGUAAUCGCAGAUCAGCAACGCUGCGGUGAAUACGUUCCCGGGCCUUGUACACACCGCCCGUCAAGUCACGAAAGUUGGUAACACCCGAAGCCGA